CCUGGCUCAGGAUGAACGCUAGCUACAGGCUUAACACAUGCAAGUCGAGGGGCAGCAUGGUCUUAGCUUGCUAAGGCCGAUGGCGACCGGCGCACGGGUGAGUAACACGUAUCCAACCUGCCGUCUACUCUUGGACAGCCUUCUGAAAGGAAGAUUAAUACAAGAUGGCAUCAUGAGUCCGCAUGUUCACAUGAUUAAAGGUAUUCCGGUAGACGAUGGGGAUGCGCUCCAUUAGAUAGUAGGCGGGGUAACGGCCCACCUAGUCUUCGAUGGAUAGGGGUUCUGAGAGGAAGGUCCCCCACAUUGGAACUGAGACACGGUCCAAACUCCUACGGGAGGCAGCAGUGAGGAAUAUUGGUCAAUGGGCGAGAGCCUGAACCAGCCAAGUAGCGUGAAGGAUGACUGCCCUAUGGGUUGUAAACUUCUUUUAUAAAGGAAUAAAGUCGGGUAUGGAUACCCGUUUGCAUGUACUUUAUGAAUAAGGAUCGGCUAACUCCGUGUCAGCAGCCGCGGUAAUACGGAGGAUCCGAGCGUUAUCCGGAUUUAUUGGGUUUAAAGGGAGCGUAGAUGGAUGUUUAAGUCAGUUGUGAAAGUUUGCGGCUCAACCGUAAAAUUGCAGUUGAUACUGGAUAUCUUGAGUGCAGUUGAGGCAGGCGGAAUUCGUGGUGUAGCGGUGAAAUGCUUAGAUAUCACGAAGAACUCCGAUUGCGAAGGCAGCCUGCUAAGCUGCAACUGACAUUGAGGCUCGAAAGUGUGGGUAUCAAACAGGAUUAGAUACCCUGGUAGUCCACACGGUAAACGAUGAAUACUCGCUGUUUGCGAUAUACUGCAAGCGGCCAAGCGAAAGCGUUAAGUAUUCCACCUGGGGAGUACGCCGGCAACGGUGAAACUCAAAGGAAUUGACGGGGGCCCGCACAAGCGGAGGAACAUGUGGUUUAAUUCGAUGAUACGCGAGGAACCUUACCCGGGCUUAAAUUGCAGAUGAAUUACGGUGAAAGCCGUAAGCCGCAAGGCAUCUGUGAAGGUGCUGCAUGGUUGUCGUCAGCUCGUGCCGUGAGGUGUCGGCUUAAGUGCCAUAACGAGCGCAACCCUUGUUGUCAGUUACUAACAGGUUCCGCUGAGGACUCUGACAAGACUGCCAUCGUAAGAUGUGAGGAAGGUGGGGAUGACGUCAAAUCAGCACGGCCCUUACGUCCGGGGCUACACACGUGUUACAAUGGGGGGUACAGAGGGCCGCUACCACGCGAGUGGAUGCCAAUCCCCAAAACCUCUCUCAGUUCGGACUGGAGUCUGCAACCCGACUCCACGAAGCUGGAUUCGCUAGUAAUCGCGCAUCAGCCACGGCGCGGUGAAUACGUUCCCGGGCCUUGUACACACCGCC
rnacentral:rRNA from 1 species